ACCACAUACACUCUUUGCCGUGCAUUCUCCCUAGCCUAACCUGAUUCUCUAAGGGUUUUUGGGGCCUAUAUAUACUUGUUUACACCCCUUGGCAAAGGGUUCACACUCUCAUAUUCUCCAUUCAUCACAGAAAUUCGUCCAUAUUCACCCUAGGUAGCAAAACACCCCAAAAACACCAUUCUAGUGCCUAGAAAACAUAACAGCCACUCCACCUUCUUCCUCCCUCUUUGCCUGGUUCUCCACCACCCUUCAACCCUCAAACACUCCUCCACACUUACCCUAAACCUUUCCAUACCAUUCCCCAUCCAUUCUACAUCAUAAAA
rnacentral:lncRNA from 1 species